rnacentral:rRNA from 1 species
CACGUAGGGUGCGAGCGUUGUCCGGAAUUAUUGGGCGUAAAGAGCUCGUAGGCGGUGUGCCGCGUCGGCCGUGAAAACCUGCAGCUUAACUGUGGGCUUGCGGUCGAUACGGGCAUCACUGGAGUUCGGCAGGGGAGACUGGAAUUCCUGGUGUAGCGGUGAAAUGCGCAGAUAUCAGGAGGAACACCGGUGGCGAAGGCGGCAUCCUGGCCCUGUCCUGACGCUCAGGGGCGAAAGCGUGGGGAGCAAACCGG